AUGCGCGUGUUUCAAGACUAUGUGGAUGGUCUCGUAGACCAGCAAGUGACUUUUGCAAUCCAGCCCCUCGACUGUCUUUCCAUUUGUGAGCUCUGGAUGCGGUACAGGGCAUAUGCAGGGAUUGUGCGGAGACGUGAGCUCGUGCUUCCUGCCACGCACAGACUGCGGCAGGUGAUGGAAAAGGUUGCCAACCCUCACCCCGGAGCCGCAGCAGUGGGCAUGAAAAAUUGGUUGGCUGAUGGGGCUGCUGAGGAGGCAAGACUGACACAACUUGGCAUUGGGUUACACGGGCGUUGGCAGGGAGGGGGAUCAACGACUCCUGCUUUCCUGGUACCUCCCCCAGAGAUCGCCACAGAGUCCGGGAUACGCAAACGCCUCCGCAAACCAACAAGGCCCUGGGCACCCAGCCUCGGAGCUCCUUUGUUCCCGCGGCCUCUCCCCCUCCCUCCCCCCUGCACCCUGGCCCGUGGGGAGCCCUCCUCGCCCGUCAAGAGCUCUCCUCCAGGCUGGUUCCUGCCUGUGUAAGAGGAGCACGGCAGGCAGGUGCAGGUGUGUGAGAAGACUGGAGGUGAAGACCGAGGCCACAAGACCAGGAUGUGGUUCGGAUGGAAGUGGGUUGCUUCCCAACAGCCCCCCCUGCACCUCUGCCGGCCUGUUAGCACGUCCCCUCCGGCCUGCGAUGGGACCCAGGCCGGACCCAGACAGACUCUGGGGAACCGAUGCCCGAGCGCAGCUCUGAGAUGCUCCACCAGCCAGAACCUGCCCCCAGACUUCUCUCUGAGUCUUGUCCCCUGGAUGUGCUUUUGAGAUUCCGGGAAGAGAAAGCUAUGAAUGAAUAGAGGCGGGGAGGAAGGAGAGACCUUACCCUGCCACUGUCAACUGAGCCACGACGGGGAUUGUGUCAGUCUUCGUUGGUCCUUAGCACCUAGAACACGGCUGGCACAGAAGAGGUGAGGCAUGAAUAUUGUCGAACGAUUUCGGGUAAUUGUGUCGUGUGUCUAUUUUCCAAAUGGUUCUGAUCCUUAGUGCUUUUCUCUACUCGUUGCUUUGAAAGCUUCCAUCACCCUGAUUUAAAAGAGCUCCCCAUGGGGCGCCUGGGUGGCGCAGUCGGUUGGGCGUCCGACUUCAGCCAGGUCACGAUCUCGCGGUCCAUGAGUUCGAGCCCCGCGUCAGGCUCUGGGCUGAUGGCUCGGAGCCUGGAGCCUGUUUCAGAUUCUGUGUCUCCCUCUCUCUCUGCCCUUCCCCCGUUCAUGCUCUGUCUCUGUCCCAAAAAUAAAUAAACGUUGAAAAAAAAAAUUAAAAAAAAA
rnacentral:lncRNA from 1 species